rnacentral:rRNA from 1 species
UACGGAGGGUGCGAGCGUUGUCCGGAAUCACUGGGCGUAAAGGGUGCGUAGGUGGCAUGGUAAGUCGGAUGUGAAAUCCCGGGGCUCAACCCCGGAACUGCAUUCGAUACUGCUGAGCUAGAGUACUGGAGAGGAGAUUGGAAUUUACGGUGUAGCAGUGAAAUGCGUAGAUAUCGUAAGGAAGACCAGUGGCGAAGGCGGAUCUCUGGACAGUUACUGACACUGAGGCACGAAGGCCAGGGGAGCAAACGGG